rnacentral:rRNA from 1 species
UACGUAGGGUGCAAGCGUUAAUCGGAAUUACUGGGCGUAAAGCGUGCGCAGGCGGUUUUGUAAGACAGAUGUGAAAUGCCCGGGCUUAACCUGGGAACUGCAUUUGUGACUGCAAGGCUAGAGUUUGGCAGAGGGGGGUAGAAUUCCACGUGUAGCAGUGAAAUGCGUAGAUAUGUGGAGGAAUACCGAUGGCGAAGGCAGCCCUCUGGGCCAACACUGACGCUCAGGCACGAAAGCGUGGGGAGCAAACAGG